rnacentral:rRNA from 1 species
AUACGGAAGGUCCAGGCGUUAUCCGGAUUUAUUGGGUUUAAAGGGAGCGCAGGCUGAUGAUUAAGCGUGACGUGAAAUGUAGCCGCUCAACGGCUGAACUGCGUCGCGAACUGGUUAUCUUGAGUGAGUUCGAUGUUGGCGGAAUUCGUGGUGUAGCGGUGAAAUGCUUAGAUAUCACGAAGAACUCCGAUUGCGAAGGCAGCCAACAAGGCCUUUACUGACGCUAAAGCUCGAAGGUGCGGGUAUCGAACAGGAUUAGAUACCCUGGUAGUCCGCACGGUAAACGAUGGAUGCCCGCUGUUUGCGAUAUACUGUGAGCGGCCAAGAGAAAUCGUUAAGCAUCCCACCUGGGGAGUACGCCGGCAACGGUGAAACUCAAAGGAAUUGACGGGG